AGCGAACGCUAGCGGCGGGCCUAACACAUGCAAGUCGAGCGGAGGGGCAACCCUCAGCGGCGAACGGGUGAGUAACACGUAGGUAAUGUACCCUCUGGUGGGGAAUAACCGUGGGAAACCAUGGCUAAUACCGCAUAUGUCUUUCGAGAUGAAAGCAGCAAUGCGCCAGAGGAGCAGCCCGCGGCCGAUUAUUUAGUCCUAGUUGGUGAGGUAAUGGCUCACCAAGGGUACGAUCGGUAGCUGGUCUGAGAGGAUGAUCAGCCACACUGGAACUGAGACACGGUCCAGACUCCUACGGGAGGCAGCAGUGGGGAAUAUUGCGCAAUGGGCGAAAGCCUGACGCAGCCACGCCGCGUGAGUGAUGAAGGCC
rnacentral:rRNA from 1 species